rnacentral:rRNA from 1 species
UACGGAGGGGGCUAGCGUUUUUCGGAAUUACUGGGCGUAAAGCGCACGUAGGCGGACUGGAAAGUCAGGGGUGAAAUCCCGGGGCUCAACCCCGGAACUGCCUUUGAAACUCCCGGUCUUGAGGUCGAGAGAGGUGAGUGGAAUUCCGAGUGUAGAGGUGAAAUUCGUAGAUAUUCGGAGGAACACCAGUGGCGAAGGCGGCUCACUGGCUCGAUACUGACGCUGAGGUGCGAAAGCGUGGGGAGCAAACAGG